rnacentral:tRNA from 1 species
GCCUCGGUAGCGCAGUAGGCAGCGCGUCAGUCUCAUAAUCUGAAGGCCGUUAGUUCGAGCCUCACCCGGGGCA